rnacentral:rRNA from 1 species
GAUGAACGCUAGCGACAGGCCUAACACAUGCAAGUCGAGGGGCAGCACUUCGGGUGGCGACCGGCGCACGGGUGAGUAACGCGUAUGUAACCUGCCCUCAGGUGGGGGAUAGCCCAUCGAAAGAUGGAUUAAUACCGCAUGACGUCGAAUGACAGCAUUAGAUUUCGACUAAAGAUUCAUUGCCUGGGGAUGGACAUGCGUCCUAUUAGCUAGUUGGCGGGGCAACGGCCCACCAAGGCGACGAUAGGUAGGGGUUCUGAGAGGAAGGUCCCCCACAUUGGUACUGAGACACGGACCAAACUCCUACGGGAGGCAGCAGUGAGGAAUAUUGGUCAAUGGGCGGAAGCCUGAACCAGCCAAGUCGCGUGAAGGAGGACGGCCCUAUGGGUUGUAAACUUCUUUAGCAGCAGAGUAAUAAGGGGGUCGUGACCCCCGAUGCAAGUAUGCUGAGAAUAAGGAUCGGCUAACUCCGUGCCAGCAGCCGCGGUAAUACGGAGGAUCCGAGCGUUAUCCGGAUUUAUUGGGUUUAAAGGGUGCGCAGGCGGCUUGUUAAGUCAGCGGUCAAAUCGCGGGGCUCAACCCCGCUCCGCCGUUGAUACUGGCGAGCUUGAUUGUGGUCGAGGUUGGCGGAAUUCGUCGUGUAGCGGUGAAAUGCAUAGAUAUGACGAAGAACCCCGAUUGCGUAGGCAGCUGACCAGGCCACAAAUGACGCUCAGGCACGAAAGUGCGGGGAUCGAACAGGAUUAGAUACCCUGGUAGUCCGCACAGUAAACGAUGAAUACUUGUUUUGGGCGAUAGAAUGUCCGAGGCAAAGCGAAAGCGAUAAGUAUUCCACCUGGGGAGUACGCCGGCAACGGUGAAACUCAAAGGAAUUGACGGGGGCCCGCACAAGCGGAGGAACAUGUGGUUUAAUUCGACGCAACGCGAAGAACCUUACCAGGCCUUGACAUCCCUUGCAAAGGUGUAGAGAUACAUUAGAGGUUAUCAAGGAGACAGGUGGUGCAUGGUUGUCGUCAGCUCGUGUCGUGAGAUGUUGGGUUAAGUGCCAUAACGAGCGCAACCCUGUUCUCCAGUUGCCAUCAUCAGGUUGGGGACUCUGGAGACACUGCCAUCGCAAGAUGAGAGGAAGGAUGGGAUGACGUCAAAUCAGCACGGCCCUUACGUCCGGGGCGACACACGUGUUACAAUGGGGAGGACAGCAAGGAACGAAGCGGCGACGCUGAGGGAAUCUCCAAACCUCCUCCCAGUUCGGAUUGGAGUCUGCAACUCGACUCCAUGAAGCUGGAUUCGCUAGUAAUCGCGCAUCAGCCAUGGCGCGGUGAAUACGUUCCCGGGCCU